rnacentral:lncRNA from 1 species
ACAGCUUCACUACUUCCUGCCUCUGGAACCCUGAGUCAGUCCCUCUCGGGGCCUCGGCUUCCUAAUCUAUCAAAGAAGACAAUGGUAUCUGAGGCUGGCUUGGAGUAGUAGAGGGUACCUGGAAGCUCUUUGCACACAGUCAACUUCAGGAGAAAAAAAAGGCUGCAUCAGGGAAGACAAGUAGUUGGGAAUGGCUGGAGCAUAGAAUCAUGCAGAGAAGCAAAGGAGCAGAAAAGAACUUUCUUCUGACUUCCAGUAUAAAAAUACUAUAACCGCCAUGGCAAUCAGAGAGGGUAAGUGACUUGCCCAAGAUCAUAUUGGGGGGAAAAAAUGACCCAGAACCAUGUCAUGGGUGAAGUGGGCGUGAAUAUGGCUAAAACACUGCCCUCUGCAGACUAUCUGCCAGACGUUCUGCCAUGAGACAUCGCGAAGGUGAUUAUCACAAGAGGAGCCCCACAGCAGGUGAAUAAUAUGUUGAACAUGAGGUAUUCGCAUAGCAGCCAAGAAUAUUCCAG